UUAGAAUGUGUCAGUGUGGUGAUGUCAUAAUGUGGUAUAGACUCAACAGUUAGAAUGUGUCAGUGUGGUGAUGUCAUAGUCAUAAUGCGGAAUAGACUCAACAGUUAGAAUGUGUCAGUGUGGUGAUGUCAUAGUCAUAAUGCGGAAUAGACUCAACAGUUAGAGUGUGUGUGUGUGUGUCUUAAUAGUAACGCUGUGUGUGUGCAGGUUUCCCUCCUCCCAGCGGCCCCCCUCCCUCUCUCAUCCCCACCUUGGACAGCAGUGGGCAUCCAGGUGGAUAUGAUGGCCGUCCCGUUCCACCAUACCCCUUCCCCACAGGUGGUUUCCCUCCUCCUAUGACAGGUAUGUCCUCAUCACUACAGUAUAUUCUCCUCACUACAGUAUAUCCUCCUCCUACUCACUACAGUAUCUCCUCCUCCUCCUCCUCCUCCUCCUCACUACUAUAAUGUCUCUGUCUCCAGGUGGCUACCCUCCUCCUAUGCCAGGUGUGGUGUCUCCAUGGCCUCCUAUGAUGGACCAGUCUAAACAGUGGGACUACUACCCUCCAGGUAAACCAGUCUAAACAGUGGGACUACUACCCUCCAGGUACACCUAAACAGGAGGGUGGUAUGGACAAUGUAUUUAUUUAAUGUGAUCAGUGGCAGAUCUGUGUAAUAGCAGAAUUUAAAGGUCAUAUCUGAUUGAGCUGACAUAUGCAGCGGUUACCGUGACUACGGUCUCCGUGAACACAGGAACAUUGCCUUUAACAGGGUCAUAGCUGACAAAGCAGGAUCAGAUUGAAUCCCAGCCUUACUCUGUUAGUCAGCGCCUCUACAAACUGUUUAUGGGUGUCAGCUGUUUUUUACUAGUGAUCAAUAACCAACCUGUCAAUCAAUAACCAAUCAAUCAGUGUGACCUGAUGUUCUUUACUGUACUACUACCCAGCAGGACCGGGACCAGGACCCAGACGGGAGGACAAGAGGGAGAAGGAGAGAGAGAGACCCAGGGAGAGACCACAUGAGAGGGAGAGGGAGAGAGAGCACAGCCCCUCCACUAUGGCUUACAACAGUGAUGAGGAGCGGUACCGCGGUUACCGGGAGUACCAGGCGGAGCGUGGCUACAGCGGCGGUGACCGUGGAGGAGGUGACCGUGGAGGGGGGGGAGCGUGGAGGCGUAGACCGUGGGGGUGACCGUGGAGGGGGGGAGCGUGGUGGUGACCGUGGCAGUGGUGGUGAGCGUGGUGGUGGUGGAGGGGAGCGCCACAGAGAGAGGUCGAGCCGUGAGAAGGAAGAGAGACACAGAGAGAGAAGACACAGAGAGAAGGAGGAGGGGAGACACAAGUCAUCACGCAGGUACGCCACACACACACACACACACACACACACACACACACACACACACACUAUUUCACCUCUUUGUUGUAUCAGAAUCAGAACUGUCUUCCUUUUCUCCCCUCUCUCUCUCUCCCCCCUCUCUCUCCCCCUCACUCUCUCUCCCCCUCACUCUCUCUCCCCCUCUCUCUCACUCCCCCUCUCUCUCACUCUGAGCAGUAGCAGCAGGAGGAGACAUGAUAGUGAAGAAGGAGACGGUCACAGGAGACACAAACACAAGAAGAGCAAGAGAAGCAAGGAGGGCAAGGAACCUAGUGAUGACAUGGGAGGAGACCAGGAGAACCAGGACACCAUGGAGUGAUGAAGAGAACAUCCUCCUCUGCCUCUCUCUCCUCCGCAUCUCUCUCCCUCUGUUUCCCUCUAUACGUCCCUCCAUCUUUCUCCUCUCUCCAUCUCUCCUGUUUCCCUCUAUACGUCCCUCCAUCUUUCUCUCUCCAUCACUCCCUCGGAGCACUGUUGUAGUUGAUCAUGCUCAGAGAUUGUUGUUGUUUACCCGUUCCCUUCGUAGUCAUGACGAUCAUAAACAACCCUCAUCUUCUGUCAUUUAUUUUCGUCCCUCUAUUUUCUUAACCAAACACCUCGCUGAAAGAUGUCAAUUUGUUGAAUUAAAAAACAAGCUUUUGAUAACUUCUGUGUGUUGGGUGGUUUCUGUGUGUGCCUGGGUGGUGUCUGUGUGUGCCUGGG
ensembl:lncRNA